rnacentral:lncRNA from 10 species
CUCAGCACGAGGUUACCAGGCUGACGUUGCACAGACUGUGCUGGAAAUUACAGAGUGCCUUGGAGGGAAAAACAAACUGGGGUUUCAGUUCCCAUGGAAACGACAUCUAUUUGCAGAGGUGCUUGCGUCAGAGCCCGGGACCCUGUGCUUGGCAGGGAUGGGGUGGAUGUUAAAAGGCAGGGUCAUCUGUUGACUGUCUGGGACUCUUCCAGGACAGUGUCUGAAAUGGGGCCCUUACCUUUAGCCAUGACAAACAGCUCUUUCCACAGAGGGGCCUGUCUGCCUGGGCAUGUCUCUGCAAUGCUGGGGUUUUUGGGUAGAUUUUAAACUUAUGAGUCAAGGGUGUGGGAAGACCCCACAUUCGCCAUUCAUGAGCAUUUAUUCCACGAGCAUGUUUUGACCUAUGAUGUGCCAGGCACUGGGCUAGGCCAGCCAAUCAGGAGUUGGUCUGGACCUGCUAAGUUUGGGGCCUAAAGUCUCCCUUCCUGGGAGGAGCUUUGGUCAGACAGGGGCAAAGUGGGGACCUGCCAGGGACCACGUGACGUGGGAGCACACAGGCUCAGCAAUGCCAGUCCCCUCACUCUGUAACCAAAGCAAAUGCCUUCUGUCCUCGUGUGUCACAGGGGAGUAAUUCCUCAUCUCACGGGGAAAGAUGACCCCUAAACUAGCCACUGAGGUCCCCACAGCAGAGGCGAUUAUUCCAGCUAUUGUUAUGGAAGAGUGUCUAUUGUUACCCUCUCUAUCACUUUACACUUUACGAAGAGCUGUACAUCCACUACCUCGUUUAAUGUAACACUCCAGGGAGGUUUUAACAACAUCACACCUGUUUUCAAACGGGGAAACUGCAUCGAGGGAGGAGAAGGCACUUGUCAAGGUCACACGGAUGAUAAACGGUGAG